rnacentral:tRNA from 1 species
GCGGGAGUAGCCUAGUGGUAGAGCAUCUGCUUCCCAAGCAGAGGGUCGCCGGUUCGAUCCCGGUCUCCCGCUCCA